UACGUAGGGUGCGAGCGUUGUCCGGAAUUAUUGGGCGUAAAGGGCUCGUAGGCGGUUUGUCGCGUCUGCUGUGAAAUUUCGGGGCUCAACCCCGAACUUGCAGUGGGUACGGGCAGACUAGAGUGUGGUAGGGGAGACUGGAAUUCCUGGUGUAGCGGUGAAAUGCGCAGAUAUCAGGAGGAACACCGAUGGCGAAGGCAGGUCUCUGGGCCACUACUGACGCUGAGAAGCGAAAGCAUGGGGAGCGAACAGG
rnacentral:rRNA from 1 species